rnacentral:rRNA from 1 species
GGUCUGGUGGCGAGUGGCGAACGGGUGAGUAAUGUAUCGGAACGUGCCCAGUAGCGGGGGAUAACUACGCGAAAGCGUAGCUAAUACCGCAUACGCCCUACGGGGGAAAGCAGGGGAUCGCAAGACCUUGCACUAUUGGAGCGGCCGAUAUCGGAUUAGCUAGUUGGUGGGGUAACGGCUCACCAAGGCGACGAUCCGUAGCUGGUUUGAGAGGACGACCAGCCACACUGGGACUGAGACACGGCCCAGACUCCUACGGGAGGCAGCAGUGGGGAAUUUUGGACAAUGGGGGAAACCCUGAUCCAGCCAUCCCGCGUGUGCGAUGAAGGCCUUCGGGUUGUAAAGCACUUUUGGCAGGAAAGAAACGUCAUGGGCUAAUACCCCGUGAAACUGACGGUACCUGCAGAAUAAGCACCGGCUAACUACGUGCCAGCAGCCGCGGUAAUACGUAGGGUGCAAGCGUUAAUCGGAAUUACUGGGCGUAAAGCGUGCGCAGGCGGUUCGGAAAGAAAGAUGUGAAAUCCCCAGAGCUUAACUUUGGAACUGCAUUUUUAACUACCGGGCUAGA